AGACACCAAAACGUUGAGCAUAAUCAAACAAAUAUAGAUAGAUUGAAACCGAACAUUCGCUCCCCCAUACUAAACGAUACAACAUAAUUACUAACGUACUUAGUUAUAUCUCCCACAUACUGAACGAUACAACAUAAUCACUAACGUACGUACUUAUUUAAUUUUAUUAAUUAACGAUAUAGUAAAAGAUCAAUCACUUCAUGAAUCCUUGAGCCAUCUUGGCAUAACCUCCCAACCCACCACCAGAUUCCUCUUCGGCUUUCUUAGCUUCCGGUUCAGCCUGACUUACCGGAGGAGGAGCACCGGCAGCCGGAGGAGGAGUACCGGCAGCGCCGGAGGAAUGGGAGGACUCGAAAUCGUUUAGAUACUUCUCGGCCUUGUCGAGGUACUGACCAGCGCCGCUCUUUUCAUCGAGCUUUCCGUAUUUUUGGGCAGCAUCCAAGAUAUCAGCGCUGGCUCCAGCGACUUUAGCCUUGUCGAGUUUGUCUGAUUCGUUACGAGCCGCGGCUUGAGCAGCUUCGGCUACAACCUUGGCACUAGCCAUGAGCUCGGAGGAAGAAGCUGGUCUGUUGGCUGCUUCGGUUCCUUCGACGGGCUUGUUGUGGUCUGGCUCCUCCGGUUUGGAGUCGGAGAAUUUCUUGACCUGAUCGGAGAGGAAGUUCAUCUUUUGUUGCCUUUUUUUUUGUCUUCUGAAUAUG
rnacentral:lncRNA from 1 species